GACAGCAGUCGCCGCGGGAAUACGGAGGGUGCAAGCGUUAAUCGGAAUUACUGGGCGUAAAGCGCACGCAGGCGGUCUGACAAGUCAGAUGUGAAAUCCCCGGGCUUAACCUGGGAACUGCAUUUGAAACUGUCAGGCUGGAGUCUUGUAGAGGGGGGUGGAAUUCCAGGUGUAGCGGUGAAAUGCGUAGAGAUCUGGAGGAAUACCGGUGGCGAAGGCGGCCCCCUGGACAAAGACUGACGCUCAGGUGCGAAAGCGUGGGGAGCAAACAGGAUUAGAUACCCCUGUAGUCCCUGUCUCUUAUAA
rnacentral:rRNA from 1 species